rnacentral:rRNA from 1 species
UGGGGAAUUUUGGACAAUGGGCGAAAGCCUGAUCCAGCAAUGCCGCGUGUGUGAAGAAGGCCUUCGGGUUGUAAAGCACUUUUGUCCGGAAAGAAAUCCUUGGCUCUAAUACAGUCGGGGGAUGACGGUACCGGAAGAAUAAGCACCGGCUAACUACGUGCCAGCAGCCGCGGUAAUACGUAGGGUGCAAGCGUUAAUCGGAAUUACUGGGCGUAAAGCGUGCGCAGGCGGUUUGCUAAGACCGAUGUGAAAUCCCCGGGCUCAACCUGGGAACUGCAUUGGUGACUGGCAGGCUAGAGUAUGGCAGAGGGGGGUAGAAUUCCACGUGUAGCAGUGAGAUGCGUAGAGAUGUGGAGGAAUACCGAUGGCGAAGGCAGCCCCCUGGGCCAAUACUGACGCUCAUGCACGAAAGCGUGGGGAGCAAACAGGAUUAGAUACCCUGGUAGUCCACGCCCUAAACGAUGUCAACUAGUUGUUGGGGAUUCAUUCCUUAGUAACGUAGCUAACGCGUGAAGUUGACCGCCUGGGGAGUACGGUCGCAAGAUUAAAACUCAAGGAAUUGACGGGGUCAUAGCUGUUU